ACAGCCUACAAAAUUGCUAUGAAUCUUUUUUCAAAUGUCUUCAAUAUCUCUGAUGAUCAUCUAGGACACUGUUUCUACACCUCUCCAGAAUGCUGUCUGGGGAAUUCUGGAGUUGAAAUCCACACAUCUUCAAACAGCCAAGGUUGAGAAACACAGCUCUAGGGCCAAUAAAGAGAGCUGGUUCUUGAGGAGCAAGGCAAGGAAGUGCAGUCCUACUGAUUAUCCUGGCACUUUCAGCAGCUUUCAAUAUCAUAGACCAUCAGUUCUUUUGGAGACAAUUUAUAAGUGCUAUUCAUGCCUGGUUGAACAUCUCCCAAGAGUAAUUAUAGUGGAUUUCUAUUUGACCUCAAGAUGUUACCUACAGAAACCUGGGGGUUGUGUACAACUUCAGCUUUGCUCUUCCAGUAUCCACACUCUGAAAAUUAGAGGUAUUUUAAAAAAAAAUGGGAGGAGGGGGAAAGGGGCACUUUGCUCCAAAGCCCCUUAAUCUUAGUAGCACCACUACAUAUCUUUGGUCUCUGAAAAAUCUACUAUAGUUUAACAUCAAGUUGCAGAGAGAAUCUAUUGAUUUAGGUUGCUGCAGUAUGUUAUAGCAAUAACCAAAGCAUAAUGAUUGUAAAAUAACUUGUUCUUUGAACAAGCUGGAAAUAUAUGCUUUAAUAUUAUAACAAAGCAUCCAAAUUAAACCAUUUCUUUUCAAUGUGAAAUCACACCAUAGGAUAUUUUUGACAGCAUGCAUGACCACAUCUUUCCAUAUACCAAAAUAUUUUUUUUCUUAUUCUUAUGCACUGCUAUGAUUUUUAACUUUUCCUUAUUGUAGUAUUUUUGAAUCACAAAUACAUUUCUUAAGAACCCUCUUAAGCAAUUUAUAUUAAGCUGAAUGUACAAUAGCUGAUAACAUUGCUAUAUUAGACAGUAGGGCUUAUCAGCACGUCUCACAUUCAGUGCUUUUAAUGGAUUAAAACAAUGGAAUAAAACAAUUCCUCUAUCCAUAAUUAUUCUGUCUCAGAUACUUUCCUGCAACAAAGGUGGUAGUAUUUAACCACCACCUUAGUUUCAAUAUUCUAAACAGCAACUUCCAUGCUAGGAUGGAUUACAACAUCCAUUCAUGACAAACACAUAGUAGGUGACACACAUAAAGAAUUAAUAUAUAUUAGGCUCUCUUUUUUUUUCCCCAGGUCUUCUUUCUUUAUGUAUACAUUCCCUAUAAGACUUAGAAGCAAACAUCAUAUUUUUUCUCUAGUAUCCCUAACAGUUUCUUUGAUCAAUUUGCUUUAAUGUUGAGAACAUUUACAAACAAACAGUGGAAAUCAUCCAAUUAAAAACAUCAAGAGUCUUUUUCAAACCUUUUGCUGAGUCUAACAUAUUCUAAGUUGACUUUGGGAUGGACUCUCUAUAUUGAUUUGUUGGCUCAAACAAAAUUUUACUAGGACUCUUUAGUUGCUCUGAUUCUUGAGGUUAAUUUCAACUCAAGCAAGAACAACCAGCUUUGGAAUGAUCAGUU